rnacentral:rRNA from 1 species
GACGAACGCUGGCGGCGUGCUUAACACAUGCGAGUCGAACGGAAAGGCCCUGCUUUUGUGGGGUGCUCGAGUGGCGAACGGGUGAGUAACACGUGAGUAACCUGCCCUUGACUUUGGGAUAACUUCAGGAAACUGGGGCUAAUACCGGAUAGGAGCUCCUGCUGCAUGGUGGGGGUUGGAAAGGUUCGGCGGUUGGGGAUGGACUCGCGGCUUAUCAGCUUGUUGGUGGGGUAGUGGCUUACCAAGGCUUUGACGGGUAGCCGGCCUGAGAGGGUGACCGGCCACAUUGGGACUGAGAUACGGCCCAGACUCCUACGGGAGGCAGCAGUGGGGAAUAUUGCACAAUGGGCGGAAGCCUGAUGCAGCAACGCCGCGUGCGGGAUGACGGCCUUCGGGUUGUAAACCGCUUUCGCCUGUGACGAAGCGUGAGUGACGGUAAUGGGUAAAGAAGCACCGGCUAACUACGUG